UAGCCAGGUGUGGUGGCCCAGUUCUGUAAUACCAGUCCUUGGGAGGCAGAGGCAGAAGGAUGCCAUCAAAACUAAGGAUUAAUCUAGAAGAAAAUGUACAGUACGUGUCCAUGAGAAAAGCUCUGAAAGUGAAGAGGCCCCGGUUUGAUGUGUUGCUGGUAUACUUAUACAUAACUGAAGUUUAUGGAUCUGCCCCUGGGGGCAUUCUUGACUUAAACAAGGUUGCCACAAAACUGGGUGUCCGCAAGAGGCGAGUGUAUGACACCACCAAUGUCUUAGAUUGGCAUCGAACUGGUGGAAAAGAAAUCUAAGAACCACAUUCGGUGGAUAGGAUCUGACCUGAACAACUUUGGGGCCGCGCUCCAGCAGAAGAAGCUGCAGGCAAGAGUUCUCCGAUCUGUCGGCCAUGGAAGACGCCUUGGACGAGUUGAUUAAAGAUUGUGCUCAACAACUGUUGGAGUUAACAGAUGACAAGGAAAACGAAAGACUAGCAUAUGUAACCUAUCAGGAUAUUCACGGCAUUCAAGCUUUCCACGAACAGAUUGUCAUUGCAGUGAAGGCUCCAGAGGAAACCAGACUGGAAGUUCCAGCUCCCAGAGAAGAUUCUAUCACAGUACAUAUCAGGAGCACCAAAGGAUCCACUGAUGUAUAUUUGUGUGAAGUAGAACAGAACCAUUCAAAUGGUAAAGCAUCACAGAGUGACGAAGGUCUUUGCAGCAUCCCGUGUGGGUGA